UCAGCAACAUGUCUUUUCUCUUUCUGAAUCAUCUUGUUUAAGCCAUCACAGUCAUUGCCAUGGUCAUCCUCAUCAGAAUCAUGUCUUCUACCUCUUUGUGAGGUCUUGUUUUUAGCAUCACGACCAUCAUCAUAUUUAUCCUCAGCAACAUGUCUUUUAUCUUUCUGAAUCAUCUUGUUCAUGACAUCACGAUCAUUGUUAUGGUCAUCCUCAUCAGAAUUUGUGAGGUCUUCUUUUUAGCAUCACGACCAUCAUCAUAUUUAUCCUCAGCAACAUGUCUUUUCUCUUUCUGAAUCAUCUUGUUUUUGACAUCACGGUCAUUGUCGUGGUCAUCCUCAAUAAAAUCAUGUCUUCUACCCUGUUGAAGCUUAAUGAUUUUUGCAUCACGGCCAUCAUUAUCACCCACAAAAUGUCUCAUAUGCAAUUUCACGUGUUUCUUCUCAUGAUCAGACUCUGAAUAAGAGUCAGAAUCAGAAUCAGAGGAUGAAUCGUCACUGUGAUGCCGCCUUCUAACCUUCUUG
rnacentral:lncRNA from 1 species